GGUUAUGUAACAUAGUGGUCAUGUACUGGAUUGCAAAUCCAAGAACGACAGUUCGAUUCUGUCCAUAACCU
rnacentral:tRNA from 1 species